rnacentral:rRNA from 1 species
UUCAAUGCAGCAGUCUGAUGCAGCAUGCGCGUGAGUGAAGAAGGUUUCGGACGUAAAGCUCUGUUGUAGGGAAGAACAAGUGCCGGUCAAAUAGGGCGGUACCUUGACGGUACCUAACCAGAAAGCCCCGGUUAAUUACGGGCCAGCGGCC